AACACAUCCAUUCCAGAGUGCUCUGACAGAUAAAACUGACACGCUUGAUGAGGUCACAGUCAAAGCUUUAAAAGCCCGUGUGAUAAAGCAGUCUUCAAUUACUACGGUGUCUGAAUUGCAAGAAGUGACCCUCCACUUAAACAUGUGACAUCUAAACUGUUUUGUGUUUUAGUUCAGCUUUUUAUAGGUUUAUCUUAAGUUGGUUAAAGGCGGAGUGCACUAUUUUUGAAAGCCAAUGUUAACAUUUGAAAUUACCUAAACAAACAUGCCUCUACCCCAAUAGAAUCUGGACCUUCUUUUGAUAGAGCCACCACACACAUACGCAACCCCUGCAAAGAUGUCAGUUAGUAGACACGCCCCUUACUGCUGGUUGGCUACAAGUGUGUUUUGGUAGUCGGCCCAAUUUCCUUUUCCAAAGCGUUUUUCAAACAUUGUGCACUCCGUCUUUAAAUUGCACUUAAACAUUUUUUUUUCAUUAACUUUUUAUGCAGAGAAUUACAUUAUGAUUAUUAUAUAAUCAUUGCUUAUGAAUAUUUAGUGAUUGCAUAUUCAUAGUGUACUUUUCAUUAAUACAUUUAAUGUUAAUGUUGUACAAUUUGAUAGAAGUA